GAUGAACGCUGGCGGCGUGCUUAACACAUGCAAGUCGAGCGAGUGAGUUCUUCGGAACGAUCUAGCGGCGGACGGGUGAGUAACACGUGGGCAACCUGCCUCAUAGAGGGGAAUAGCCUCCCGAAAGGGAGAUUAAUACCGCAUAAAAUUAUCGAGUGGCAUCACAUGAUAAUCAAAGGAGUAAUCCGCUAUGAGAUGGGCCCGCGGCGCAUUAGCUAGUUGGUGAGGUAACGGCUCACCAAGGCGACGAUGCGUAGCCGACCUGGGAGGGUGAUCGGCAACAUUGGGACUGCGACACGGCCCAGACUCCUACGGGAGGCAGCAGUGGGGAAUAUUGCACAAUGGGGGAAACCCUGAUGCAGCAACGCCGCGUGAGUGAUGAAGGUCUUCGGAUUGUAAAGCUCUGUCUUUGGGGACGAUAAUGACGGUACCCAAGGAGGAAGCCACGGCUAACUACGUGCCAGCAGCCGCCGUAA
rnacentral:rRNA from 1 species